rnacentral:rRNA from 1 species
AAUCAAGUGGAGGACAAGUCUGGUGCCAGCACCCGCGGUAAUUCCAGCUCCACUGCGUAUAUUAAAGUUGUUGCAGUUAAAAAGCUCGUAGUUGAACCUCUGUCUGGGGCUAGUUUUGGCUUUGGUCAGGCUAGUUCUAGGCAUCCGCCUACAAGACUUAGAGGGCAUUUAGUUGUUCACUAGGAGGAGUAGGCAUUUUACUUUGAAAAAAUUAGAGUGUUUAAGGCAGGCAAUCGCCCGCAUAUAUUAGCAUGGAAUAAUAGAAUAGGACACUUUUCCAUUUCGUUGGUUAUUGGAAUCGUGUAAUGAUUAAUAGGGACAGUUGUGGGCAUUUGUAUUUAAUUGUCAGAGGUGAAAUUCUUGGAUUUAUUAAAGACAAACUAACGCGAAAGCAUUUGCCAAGGAUGUUUUCAUUAAUCAAGAACGAAAGUUAGGGGAUCAAAGACGAUCAGAUACCGUCCUAGUCUUAACUAUAAACUAUUCCGACUCAAUGUUUGACUGGCUUAUAUGACCAGUUGAGCGUUGUAUGAGAAAUCAAAGUCUUUAGGUUCUGGGGGGAGUAUGGUUGCAAAGCUGAAACUUAAAGGAAUUGACGGAAGAGCACAACCAGGAGUGGAUUCUGCGGCUUAAUUUGACUCAACACGGGGAAACUUACCAGGUUAAAACAAUAGUGGGAUUGACAGUUUGAGAGCGCUUUCUUGAUUGGUUGGGUGGUGGUGCAUGGCCGUUCUUAGUUGGUGGAGUGAUUUGUCUGCUUAAUUGCGUUAACGAACGAGACCUUAACCUGCUUACUAGACUGGCGAUCAUCAAUCGUUAGCUCUUCUUAGAGGGACUUUGGUUGUUUUAACUCCAAGGAAGUUUGAGGCAAUAACAGGUCUGUGAUGCCCUUAGAUAUCCUGGGCCGCACGCGUCAUACAAUGACUAGUUCAGAAAGUUUUCUCCUGACCCGAAAGGGGAUGGGUAAUCUUGAUAAUACUAGUCGUGUUAGGGAUCGAUCUUUGCAAUUAUAGAUCUUGAACGAGGAAUUCCUAGUAAGUGCGGUUCAUCAGACCGUACUGAUUACGUCCCUGCUCUUUGUACACACCGCCCGUCGCUUCUACCGAGUGGGUGGUCCGGUGAGAUAAUUGAACUUCGCAGGUAACUGAGAGGAAAGAUUAUCAAACCUAUCCACCU